rnacentral:misc_RNA from 1 species
AACUGCAGAUGUGCAUGAUUGUGAAUGAAUCUCUAAGGCUAUAUCCUCCUGUUGUUAAUCUGGCAAGACAAAUACAUGAUAAAGUUGUGCUGGGGAAUCUAAUUCUUCCAGCAAAGGUUCAAGUCUCUAUUCCUAUUCUAGCAAUUCAUCAUGACCCUCAGAUAUGGGGAGAAGACGUUGAUCUUUUCAAACCAAAGAGAUUUGCACAAGGGGUGGCUAAAGCUACAAACAAUAAUAUAGCUGCAUUUUUGCCCUUUGGUCUGGGACCUCGAAACUGUGUGGGCUCAAAUUUUGCAGUCACAGAAGCAAAAAUUGCACUUUCAAUGAUUUUGCAGCACUAUAGGUUUACUCUAUCCCCCACUUAUGUCCAUUCUCCAGCUUAUCUUCUCACAAUGAACCCAAAACAUGGAAUUCAAGUCAAACUCCAAGCACUAUAAGCCCGGAUUCUAGAAUCCGCAGAAGUGCCAGCCCUUCUGAAGUCACUCGUAGAAGCUACAGUCCGCCUGCUGCUAUAAUGGAAGCUAGCUUGUAUGUAGAAUCCACAACUCUCUUUUGUUAGUACUCAGAAACAUGAAGUGGAUAAAAAUUUCUCCUUCAUGCGAGAAAUAAGCUUAAAUUUUUCCUCAGCCUCAACCUGCUGACGUAUGUCUGUUCUUGAUGCUCGGUCAGGAUGAAAUUUCAACAAGGCCCGUUUAUAAGCUGCAUGUACCUCCUGCGACAAGGGAUGGAAUCCACCUCCCACAUGGAUACCCAAGCCACGAAGUAACGAAGCCAUAUCAAUGCAUGUAUUUUCUAAUUUGUAAAGCUCCUUCCUCACUUCAGCACGAAGAUUCUCUUUCAUGUUCAAAUUUUCCUCAUCCUUCCUCUGCGUCUCUCUCACUUCUUCCACACGCUGCUUUUGCCUUUUCUCCAUGUCUAAAAUACGCAAAGUUUCAGCUUUUCUUCUCUUUCGCAAUCUCAUAGCUUCUUCUGCCUGAAUUUGCAGUUGUCGCUGCCUGGCUACCCAUUCUUGUUCUUCUGCUCGCUUGUAUUCAUCAGUCUCCUUGAGCUUUUCUCUGUCGUUGAUUAUAUCUCUUUGAACAGCAGGAAUAACAUCACGAUUUAGAGCAUAUAAGGGAUUCUUCCCAUCAGAAAUUAGAAUAUCAGAAGAGGAAUUAGUAAAUGGGUUAUCUCCGUCUAUAGAACUUAAUGUCCCAGAAACUAGUUUAUCUUUCUCCUUAGAACCAACACUAUUGCAUUGUGCAACAUUUGCGCAAGUUUCAAAGCUAGAAGUUGCUGGUGUGAAGUUUCCACCUUUCUCCAUGGAAAGGUCUUUCCCGUGAUUAACACUGCACGUUUCACCCAAACACUGACCCUUGCACAAAGAAGCAUCUUCAUCGUGAACACUAGCUCUCUCAUAAUCAGAGUUUAAGUUAGGCUUCUGUUGGAAACUUGGAAAAGAAUGUUCUCCCUUUGUUCUUUGUUUGCCAUGCUGAAAACAGUUUCUUGUAUCCUGACAUUGUUCAUAUCCCCCUUUAUGAAUGGACCAUGGAGGAGGCCCAAGAGGACCUUUUCUUUCAUUCUGAAAUCUACUGUCAUAUCCAUUCAUAUUUUGACUCUCAUCACGGAAAGAAUUACAAUCUUCCAUGCAUGUCUCUCUUAAUGUAACAUCAUCCUUCAUAUGUGUAUCCUUUCCUGACGCCGUUUUCCACUGCCAUGAAAAACUUUCCUUGUCAAUUUUCUGAUCAGAUCUUGCAAAAGGGCAUCCCAUCCAAGGAUCGAAAGCACUGCCUACAAAUCGAUCUCCAGUAGCAUUACAAUUAGACAAAUUUUCCUCUUGAAAGUUCACAUUUUUUGAACUGAAACAAACAGGGUCUUCUAAAUUUUGUUUAGUCCUGUUUUCAACUCUAACAUUUAAAUGAAUAUCACUGUGGGAACUGCAUGGACUUUCCUGAUCCUCCAGCCCAGAUUCGCCCUUAUGAUAGAUAUGUGAUUUCCUCUUUAGAGAAGCUUUUUCCCAUUGUUCACGAAGGUCACUUGAAGAACCUUCCAUAACUUCACAAUCAGAAGAACUGCUUCCAGAUGAAUCACUUUCAGACUCGGAAUUCAAACCAUAACGAUUUCUAGAUGGAGAUUUCUUAGUAUAGGUUGUCUUGCAUUUUGAUAACUUGAAUGCAGAUCUUUUUUCCAGAACAACCCGGCAAUCUUUGGCAUCUGCAUCUUCAGAUUUCUUCAUAGAAUCAGAGGCAGGACUAUUUUUGCUUGGAGUGUCAUCACCAUUUAAGCCUCCUUCAUUUUCCACAUUAAAUUCAGGAUGGUCUACAUAAUCACUUUCAUCAUCAUCAAUGCUUAUAAUUCCCUGAAUUGGAAAUCUUUUGCCUUCUCUAAGUACAGUUGAACCUUUAAACUUCUGCUGCAAAGACUCAGGAACAUCAAUGAUAAUAACAUUAUCAAAUCCAUCACUGUCAACAUCAAUGAUAACAACAUUAUCAAGAUGCCCGCGCAUUUUGCGACUUCUCAUUGCUUUCUUCCCAGAACCAGUACUAGGCAUCGAAUAAUUGCUUGAUGCUUCCUCUCCUCUCAUUUAGUUCUGUGCUCUUUCACCAGCAAAACUUUCGCCCUUCCCAAUCAAACAAAACCAAAAGUAGAUAUAGAGAGAAGAUGGAACUAACGUUUCUUUCUUUCUCUUCCUUCUGCACAUUUAGGGUUUUGAAAAUUGAAAACGAAGAUUUUGGUACCAAAAAGCAAAACAAG